UCAGUAUAUUUAAUCGCCAACAUUGUUUGAAUAAUCAACACAAUAAUUAUGCUAAGCAUUAGUUUAUAUUUAGCUAAUGCUAGCUAUAUUAGCUAGCUAACUUAACUGGUUGAUUGCAUUUAGAUAAUCAAAUAGUAAUUGCGUUUUCUUACUAAAAGACCGGAAUCAGCUUAAUAUGCAUACAAUAAACAUUGUCUAUGAUAUUAAGAAUGACCAAUGAAACACAUUGAGCUCUGAAGGUUAGGAAUUCAGUCUCAACGUUUUCUCUCAGGCACAACCUAUUUUGCACCAAAUUUUCUCCUGUUCUGUCGGCAGAUAUGGCAGAACAGUCAGACACAGGGGGAGCGCUAACAUUUUUGUUAAUCGGUCAGCAAGCAAUUAAUGUGUGGGUAGAGGGUGUUUAUAACCAAACAGCAGUCUACGCAGCUGCAGUGCAGACCAAAAAACUGCAGGCAUGUUGUAGUCGACCAAGAGUGACGAGAGGUUGGCAGUAGCACGAAGAAAGACAAACGGAGAACAGGAAAUUUAAAUACUUGAGGAGACGGUAGAUGGGAGACGAUGCUAAACAGCAGAGGAACCUCGAAGGUCUCAGCACGACAGCCAGUUGGUCAGCUGUAGGAGGGAGACACCCAGGGCUACGAGGAACAGGCUUCCUUUGGACAGCACAGCAGAGGAUGCUGGGAAGGUAGAAAAAAAGAAGUGGAACCUUCAUAUAGUGUUGUCUUCAUAUUUUGCAUGCAAUAGAUGUGUAAUAUAUGUGUGAUGCACUUAUGACUUACGAUUUCAUAAGUGCAGGGUUAACAAGGCUCAUAAGACUAUCUCUGUACCCUGAUUGUGUUUUGCUUAAAUAAACACAUCAAAAAUA